rnacentral:rRNA from 1 species
CUACGGGAUGCUCCAGUGAGGAAUAUUGCACAAUGGGGGGAACCCUGAUGCAGCAACGCCGCGUGGAGGAUGACGCAUUUCGGUGUGUAAACUCCUUUUAUAUGUCAAGAAAAUGACGGUAGCAUAUGAAUAAGCACCGGCUAACUCCGUGCCAGCAGCCGCGGUAAUACGGAGGGUGCAAGCGUUUACUCGGAAUCACUGGGCGUAAAGGACGCGUAGGCGGGUUGGAAAGUCAGGUGUGAAAUCCUACAGCUUAACUGUAGAACUGCACUUGAAACUUCUAAUCUAGAGUAUGGGAGGGGGAGAUGGAAUUAGUGGUGUAGGGGUAAAAUCCGUAGAUAUCACUAGGAAUACCUAAAGCGAAGGCGAUCUCCUGGAACAUUACUGACGCUAAGGCGUGAAAGCGUGGGGAGCAAACAGGAUUAGAUACCCUUGUAGUC